UUUAUAGCGAGCUGCGUUUAUUCAGUACUGUCACACACGUGUAGCAGCUACUUCCUCGCUCUCCUGCUGAAGUUGACAUUCUGGCGCUUACUGGCUGCUAUAUAUAGCACUCAUCGCCGUGCUGUUACUAUUCCCAGCGUUGUACAUGAGGGGGCGGGCGUUGCUUUUCUUUCGUAAAAGGAAGAAUACAACGUUUUUGUUCACAAUGGAUGCAUUUCUCCGUGUAGAGCUAGCACACCUGAUUCAACUUGUCAAGCAAGCCCUUGACUAGGUAGCUGGUUCAGUUCUCCUGCUCAAGUCGACUACUCACUGAGGAACCGUUUCAACGCUCAGUCUUUCUGAUGUUUAUUCUUCUAAUCUAUUCCUGGUGCUGCUGCUACACGCUCCACCUCCACUUCCUGGUUAUUUUCGGCAGUGUGUGUUUUGGUGUCAGGCUCCGCGGAUGGUGGGUUUGGGAAAUACCUGUUCACGAUAAAUCAGGGGGGAGGUUUAGCUAAGAACAUGUCACCCCCUACUGCAUGGGAAGGAGAAAUGCAUGCAUAUACGGAUGUUAGUAGAUACAUAAAGUGCUGUGAAAAAGUAUUUGCCCCUUUCUAAUUUAGCAUUUUUUCUUCUAAAUACUAAAUGUUAUCAGAUUUUCAACACCCAAUGGCCCUAUGGGGAAAAGGUAAUUGCCCCCAUACACUCGACAUUGGGUAAAGUGUCAUGAAAUGUCAUGUAAUAUUUUAAAUUGUAUAUAAGUGUCUUAAUGUUACUGGACUCCAGGAAUAGUAGCUGCUGCCAUGGCAACAACUAAUGGGGAUCUUUAAUAAAUACAAAAAUACAAAAAACUGGUUGUGCCACCUUUAGCUGCAAUGACUCCAACCAAAUGCUUCCAGUAAUUGUUGAUCAGUCUCUCACAUCGCUGUGGAGGAAUAUAGGCCCACUCUUGCAUCCAGAACUCAUGGUUCCUUCUAUUCUUUACUGCCUCAGGACCUGGAUGACUGGCCUUAAUAGGAGAUAAACAUCAUUACCAUUAUCACACCAGCCUCC